GGGUCAAUUCGGCGGUCGUGCUUAGGUACGUACUGGCGUCAUUGAUUCCUCCCUUCUGACGAACCAUGAUGUCAUUUAUUUGGUGUUGUGGGGAAUCAGGACUGUUACUUUGAAAAAAUUAGAGUGUUUAAAGCAGGCUCACGCUUGAAUACAUUAGCAUGGAAUAAUGAAAUAGGACGUUCGAUCCUAUUUUGUUGGUUUUAGGAUCAACGUA
rnacentral:rRNA from 1 species